rnacentral:rRNA from 1 species
AACGUAGGAGACAAACGUUAUCCGGAGUUACUGGGCGUAAAGGGCGUGCAGGUGGUAGUGUAAGUCUGGCGUGAAAUUUUUCGGCUUAACCGGGAAAGGUCGUCGGAUACUGCACAACUAGAGGACGGUAGAGGCGUGUGGAAUUCCGGGUGUAGUGGUGAAAUGCGUAGAGAUCCGGAGGAACACCAGUGGCGAAGGCGACACGCUGGGCCGUACCUGACACUGAUGCGCGACAGCAUGGGGAGCAAACGAGGAUAGAAACCC